UUCAACUGUUCGCAGACGAUUCAACUGAAGCUGAUCAGGCACGGCGACUGAUGGAGUUUGUGCACGUCCAGCCCGAGGUCACAGCAGGCGGUUUCUUUUCCCUAUCCAAGGCGAAACUUUUGGCGAUGAUGGGGUUCAUCAGCUCGUACCUGGUGAUCUUGCUGCAGUUCAACGGCAAGACAAAUUUUUUGACAGAUCGGUUUGCUGGUC